rnacentral:tRNA from 2 species
UAAAGGUUAUGAAAAGAAAUAGCUGCUAACUAAUUUCUAAAGCGGUUAAAAUCCGUUUGCCUUUUA